UACGUAGGGUGCGAGCGUUAAUCGGAAUUACUGGGCGUAAAGCGUGCGCAGGCGGUGAUGUAAGACAGGUGUGAAAUCCCCGGGCUUAACCUGGGAACUGCAUUUGUGACUGCAUCGCUGGAGUACGGCAGAGGGGGAUGGAAUUCCGCGUGUAGCAGUGAAAUGCGUAGAUAUGCGGAGGAACACCGAUGGCGAAGGCAAUCCCCUGGGCUAACACUGACGCUCAGGCACGAAAGCGUGGGGAGCAAACAGG
rnacentral:rRNA from 1 species